rnacentral:tRNA from 1 species
GCGGAAGUAGCUCAAUUGGCAGAGUACCUGCCUUCCAAGCAGGAUGUUGCGAGUUCGACCCUCGUCUUCCGCUCCA